GGCUCUAUAGUGUAAUAGAAGACGUUGGAUUGCAAAUCUAAAGAUGCAAAUGUUUGCUAGGGCUU
rnacentral:tRNA from 2 species